rnacentral:misc_RNA from 1 species
GAACGCACAUUGCGCCCCUUGGUAUUCCGAGGGGCAUGCCUAUUCGAGCGUCAUUAUCACCCCUCAAGCUCAGCUUGGUGUUGAGGCCUGCUGUAAGGGCAGCCUCUAAAAUCAGUGGCAGUGCUGUCAGGCUCUAAGCGUAGUAAUUUUCAUCGCUAUAGACACCUGGUGGAUACUCGCCAGAACCCCCCCAUUUUUUAAUGAUUGACCUCGGAUUAGGUAGGGAUACCCGCUGAACUUA